GCCCUGGUAGCUCAAUUGGUUAGAGCGUCGGACUUUUACCAAGGUAUAUGUCAUCCGAAGGCUGCGGGUUCGACCCCCGCCUGGGGCG
rnacentral:tRNA from 3 species